AUUGAACGCUGGCGGCAUGCCUUACACAUGCAAGUCGAACGCGAAAGGGGGCAACCCUGAGUAGAGUGGCGAACGGGUGAGCAAUACAUCGGAACACGUCCUGUAGCGGGGGACAACCCCGAGAAAUCGGGGCUAAUACCGCGUACGAUCUACGGAUGAAAGUGGGGACCGCAAGGCCCACACUAUAGGAGUGGCCGAUGCCGGAUUAGCUAGUUGGCGGGGUAAAAGCCCACCAAGGCGACGAUCCGUAGCUGGUUUGAGAGAACGACCAGCCACACUGGGACUGAGACACGGCCCAGACUCCUACGGGAGGCAGCAGUGGGGAAUCUUGGACAAUGGGCGCAAGCCUGAUCCAGCCAUGCCGCGUGGGUGAAGAAGGCCUCGUUGUAAG
rnacentral:rRNA from 1 species